UCCACUCCGCUGACCAUCACUGGUGGGUCUGCUAGUAGAUAUCGAUCCUAUCAAGAUGCUCGUCACUCUCAGUAUCUCUCUAUAAUUUAAGAAUAAUUAAUUAAUUUUUUUUAAAUAGCUAGAGAAUUAUAUACUAAUUAAAAAUUACUUACCAUCUGCUCCAUGUGAUGAGCGAAUGACCUUGAAUCCCCAUAAUACGGUACGGUCUGUCU
rnacentral:lncRNA from 1 species